rnacentral:rRNA from 1 species
CCUACGGGAGGCAGCAGUGAGGAAUAUUGGUCAAUGGCCGGAAGGCUGAACCAGCCAAGUCGCGUGAAGGAAGAAGGAUCUAUGGAUUGUAAACUUCUUUUAUAGGGGAAUAAAGGUAUCCACGUGUGGAUAUUUGCAUGUACCAUAUGAAUAAGCAUCGGCUAACUCCGUGCCAGCAGCCGCGGUAAUACGGAGGAGGCGAGCGUUAUCCGGAUUUAUUGGGUUUAAAGGGUGCGUAGGUUGUUUUUGAAGUCAGCGGUGAAAGGUUGGGGCUCAACCGUAAAAUUGCCGUUGAAACUGGAAAGCUUGAGUGUGUUUGAGGUAGGCGGAAUGCGUGGUGUAGCGGUGAAAUGCAUAGAUAUCACGCAGAACUCCGAUUGCGAAGGCAGCUUACUAGGCCAUAACUGACACUGAGGCACGAAAGCGUGGGGAUCAAACAGGAUUAGAUACCCGGGCAGUC